GGUAAGAGCGCACCGCGCGACUGGUAACAGAUCGCGGCACGGUAAACCCCGCCUGGAGCAAGACCAAAUAGGGGAGUAGCAGCAUAGCUGCGCCGCCGGUUCCGAGCGGACUCCCGGGUAGGUCGCUAGAGGCAGUCGGUGACGGCUGUCCCAGAUGAAUGGUUGUCGAUGACAGAACCCGGCUUAUUGCUGGCUCCUGCCU
rnacentral:RNase_P_RNA from 1 species